rnacentral:lncRNA from 1 species
AUUGAGGUGAUACCUGGUCUUCUAAGAAGGGUGAAUAAAACUGAGCAACAAAGGGAUGAAUUGCACAAUUUAUUGAGCAAAUUGGAGUCAAAAGAUGCAAAGUUGAACGUGAAAGUGAAGGACAUGGAACACGAAUUGGCGAGGCAAAAGUGUAUUAGGAAGUGGCUUGUAAGGCUACUGGUACUUUCUUGGGUUUUAAUCUUAUUAAUGGUGGUUUGGCAUCGAGAUGAAAGAUAGACUUCUAGAAUGCUGCAAAUUGAAGGAGCUCUAUGAAAAAUGUGUUCAUGUGAAAAUUGUAUCCAUCAAGAUAUUGAUGGAGUAAUAUGAUUUAUUGUAUUCAUGUAAAAAUUAUGUU